AAUAUUGCACAAUGGGCGCAAGCCUGAUGCAGCAACGCCGCGUGCGCGACGAAGGCCUUCGGGUCGUAAAGCGCUUUUCGGGGAGAUGAGUACGGACAGUAUCCACGGAAGACGGAUCGGCUAACCACGUGCCAGCAGCCGCGGUAAAACGUAAGAGCCGAGCGUUAUCCGAAUUCACUGGGCGUAAAGCGCAUGCAGGCGGCCGCACACGUUGGAUGUGAAAUCUCCCGGCUCAACUGAGAGGGGACGUUCAAAACUGUGCGGCUCGAGGGCGGUAGAGGAAGGUAGAAUUCCCGGUGUAGUGGUGAAAUGCGUAGAUAUCGGGAGGAAUACCCGUGGCGAAGGCGACCUUCUGGACCGUUUCUGACGCUCAGAUGCGAAAGCUAGGGGAGCGAACGGG
rnacentral:rRNA from 1 species